GAUGAACGCUGGCGGCGUGCCUAAUACAUGCAAGUCGAGCGCGACUGAUUGCACCGUCCUUCGGGACACCGUCAUCAUUGAGCGGCGGACGGGUGAGUAACACGUGGGCAACCUACCCUUAAGACUGGGAUAACCGCGGGAAACCGUGGCUAAUACCGGAUAAUACUUUUAUACAACGGUAUAGAAGUUGAAAGGUGGAUUUCUAUCACUUAAGGAUGGGCCUGCGGCGCAUUAGCUGGUUGGUAAGGUAACGGCUUACCAAGGCGACGAUGCGUAGCCGACCUGAGAGGGUGAUCGGCCACACUGGAACUGAGACACGGUCCAGACUCCUACGGGAGGCAGCAGUAGGGAAUCUUCCGCAAUGGGCGAAAGCCUGACGGAGCAACGCCGCGUGUGCGAAGAAGGUCUUCGGAUCGUAAAGCACUGUUGUUAAGGAAGAACGACAGUAAGAGUAACUGUUUACUGUGUGACGGUACUUAAACAGAAAGCCACGGCUAACUACGUG
rnacentral:rRNA from 1 species